GGAGCUCAACAGUAAGAAGUGCA
rnacentral:siRNA from 1 species